rnacentral:rRNA from 1 species
GACGAACGCUGGCGGCGUGCUUAACACAUGCGAGUCGAACGGAAAGGCCCUGCUUUUGUGGGGUGCUCGAGUGGCGAACGGGUGAGUAACACGUGAGUAACCUGCCCUGGACUUUGGGAUAACUUCAGGAAACUGGGGCUAAUACCGGAUAGGAGCUCCUGCUGCAUGGUGGGGGUUGGAAAGUUUCGGCGGUUGGGGAUGGACUCGCGGCUUAUCAGCUGGUUGGUGGGGUAGUGGCUUACCAAGGCUUUGACGGGUAGCCGGCCUGAGAGGGUGACCGGCCACAUUGGGCCGGAGAUACGGCCCAGACUCCUAAGGGAGGCAGCAGUGGGGAAUAUUGCACAAUGGGCGGAAGCCUGAUGCAGCAACGCCGCGUGCGGGAUGACGGCCUUCGGGUUGUAAACCGCUUUCGCCUGUGACGAAGCGUGAGUGACGGUAAUGGGUAAAGAAGCACCGGCUAACUACGUG